rfam:Marvinbryantia formatexigens DSM 14469 B_formatexigens-1.0.1_Cont29.1, whole genome shotgun sequence.
UGAUGCCAGGGUCAAAAAGUCUGAGCCUGCAUGAGCUUGCUCAUUAGCAGGUGAAAGACUUUGAGACCCGCCCCGGUAUGAGCAUAAAAGUGGGAUGUAUAUCCCACGAUAUGCGAAUAUUGGGUAUGGAUUGCGGGAGUGCGCAGCACGGAGCAAUCCACUGGCAUCA